rnacentral:rRNA from 1 species
GACGAACGCUGGCGGCGUGCCUAAUACAUGCAAGUAGAACGCACAGUUUAUACCGUAGCUUGCUACACCAUAGACUGUGAGUUGCGAACGGGUGAGUAACGCGUAGGUAACCUGCCUGGUAGCGGGGGAUAACUAUUGGAAACGAUAGCUAAUACCGCAUAAUAUUGAUUAUUGCAUGAUAAUUAAUUGAAAGGUGCAAUUGCACCACUACCAGAUGGACCUGCGUUGUAUUAGCUAGUAGGUGAGGUAACGGCUCACCUAGGCGACGAUACAUAGCCGACCUGAGAGGGUGGUCGGCCACACUGGGACUGAGACACGGCCCAGACUUCUACGGGAGGCAGCAGUAGGGAAUCUUCGGCAAUGGACGAAAGUCUUACCGAGCAACGCCGCGUGAGUGAAGAAGGUUUUCGGAUCGUAAAGCUCUGUUGUAAGAGAAGAACGGGUGUGAGAGUUGAAAGUGCACACUGUGACGGUAUCUUACCAGAAAGGGACGGCUAACUACGUG